rnacentral:rRNA from 1 species
GACGAACGCUGGCGGCGUGCUUAACACAUGCAAGUCGAACGAAGAGCGAUGGAAGCUUGCUUCUAUCACUCUUAGUGGCGAACGGGUGAGUAACGCGUAAUCAACCUGCCCUUCAGAGGGGGACAACAGUUGGAAACGACUGCUAAUACCGCAUACGAUCUAAACUCGGCAUCGAGGAUAGAUGAAAGGUGGCCUCUACAUGUAAGCUAUCACUGAAGGAGGGGAUUGCGUCUGAUUAGCUAGUUGGAGGGGUAACGGCCCACCAAGGCGAUGAUCAGUAGCCGGUCUGAGAGGAUGAACGGCCACAGUGGGACUGAGACACGGCCCAGACUCCUACGGGAGGCAGCAGUGGGGAAUCUUCCGCAAUAGACGAAAGUCUGACGGAGCAACGCCGCGUGAGUGAUGACGGCCUUCGGGUUGUAAAGCUCUGUUAAUCGGGACGAAAGGCCUUCUUGCGAAUAGUGAGAAGGAUUGACGGUACCGGAAUAGAAAGCCACGGCUAACUACGUG